AGAUAAUUAGUUCACUUUGCAGUCAGCCUAAGCACUAUAAAUAAGCCACAGGUAAGCUGUCUGUGUGUAGUACAAUGGAAGGAGCAGUAAGAGUGAGAAGAGUGAGAAUCAGAGGAGGCCGAGGGAGAGGACGUGGAGUUGAAGAAGCGAGAGGGUUAGAGGAAGUUAGAGGUAGAGGACAAGGAGGAGCAAGAAGAGGACGAGGAGGGGAAAGAGGAAGGGUAAGAAGAGUAAGAAAUAGAAUAACUGAUGACAUCAGAGCUACAAUAGUGGACCAUGUCAUCAACCAUGGGAUGACCCUGAGGGAAGCUGGCCAACGGGUUCAGCCUAAUUUGAGCCGCUACACUGUGGCAAGCAUCAUUAGGACAUUUCGAAACGAGAAUCGGUAAGUACUUUGUAGCACUGCCAUACUCUAAUGAGAAACACAACAGUACCAUACAUGCAAAAAUACUGAAAUUGUUACUUUACAGAAUUGCUAGACGUCCAGAUGUUGGGGGCAGAGGAAGAAUGUUCACUCCAGAGCAAGAGACCCAUAUAGUGAACAUGGUGAUUGCCAAUAAUGCAAUAAGACUGCGCGAAAUACAGCAGCACAUAAUUGAUAAUGACACCAUCUUUCAAAAUAUACACAGUGUAAGCAUUUCUGCACUAAGUCGUGUACUUGCGUGCCACAG
ensembl:lncRNA